CCAUAAACGAUGCCAGCCAGCGAUCCGCCGAUGUUCCUCCGAUGACUCGGCGGGGAGCUUCUUCCCGGGAAACCAAAGCUUUUGGGUUCCGGGGGAAGUAUGGUUGCAAAGCUGAAACUUAAAGGAAUUGACGGAAGGGCACCACCAGGAGUGGAGCCUGCGGCUUAAUUUGACUCAACACGGGAAACCUCACCAGGCCAGGACAUUGGAAGGAUUGACAGAUUGAUAGCUCUUUCUUGAUUCAGUGGGUAGUGGUGCAUGGCCGUUCUUAGUUGGUGGAUCGAUUUGUCUGGUUAAUUCCGAUAACGAACGAGACUCUAGCCUAUUAACUAGGCGUUUUCCGGUGUCCUCGCCACCGGCGACACUCAUUCUUCUUAAGGGGACAGGCGGCUUAUAGCCGCACGAGAUUGAGCAAUAACAGGUCUGUAAUGCCCUUAGAUGUCCUGGGCCGCACGCGCGCUACACUGAAGGAAUCAGCGUGUGCCUCCCUGGCCGAAAGGCCCGGGUAAUCCGCUGAACCUCCUGCGUGCUAGGAAUUGGGGCUUGAAAUUGUUCCCCAUGAACGAGGAAUUCCCAGUAAGCGCGAGUCAUAAGCUCGCGUUGAUUACGUCCCUGCCCUUUGUACACACCGCCCGUCGCUACUACCGAUUGAAUGAUUUAGUGAGGUCUUCGGACUGGCGGUAAUCCCUAUCGACUUGUCGGUAUCGAUGAACGCUGAAAAGAUGACCAAACUUGAUCAUUUAGAGGAAGUAAAAGUCGUAACAAGGUUUCCGUAGGUGAA
rnacentral:rRNA from 1 species